CGGUAUGUUGGCUAAUAGGCAAGCCCCUGCAUUUGGGAUGCAGAAUAUGCAAGUUCGAGUCUUGUCAUACCGA
rnacentral:tRNA from 1 species